rnacentral:rRNA from 1 species
GACGAACGCUGGCGGCGUGCCUAAUACAUGCCAGUUGAGCGCUGAAGGUUGGUACUUGUACCAACUGGAUGAGCAGCGAACGGGUGAGUAACGCGUGGGGAAUCUGCCUUUGAGCGGGGGACAACAUUUGGAAACGAAUGCUAAUACCGCAUAAAAACUUUAAACACAAGUUUUAAGUUUGAAAGAUGCAAUUGCAUCACUCAAAGAUGAUCCCGCGUUGUAUUAGCUAGUUGGUGAGGUAAAGGCUCACCAAGGCGAUGAUACAUAGCCGACCUGAGAGGGUGAUCGGCCACAUUGGGACUGAGACACGGCCCAAACUCCUACGGGAGGCAGCAGUAGGGAAUCUUCGGCAAUGGACGAAAGUCUGACCGAGCAACGCCGCGUGAGUGAAGAAGGUUUUCGGAUCGUAAAACUCUGUUGGUAGAGAAGAACGUUGGUGAGAGUGGAAAGCCCAUCAAGUGACGGUAACUACCCAGAAAGGGACGGCUAACUACGUG